rnacentral:rRNA from 1 species
CGCGUAGGCGGACUUUCAAGUCAGAUGUGAAAUCUGUCGGCUUAACCGGCAGUCUGCAUUUGAAACUGUUGGUCUUGAGUACAGGAGAGGAAAGCGGAAUUCCAGGUGUAGCGGUGAAAUGCGUAGAUAUCUGGAAGAACACCGGUUGCGAAGGCGGCCUUCUGGACUGAUACUGACGCUGAAGCGCGAAGGCUUGGGUAGCAAACA